rnacentral:sRNA from 12 species
UGGGGGUUGGAAUUACGAUGCUGUGGCCCCCGCUAGCGUUGAACUGGUGAUCACGGGGAUCUUCACACACCAGUAAGUAUAGCCGCGUCUGCUUAAAGUAGGCCGCCAGGGGUUACUCACCACUGCCCUGGUGCUCCGAAUUUUAUGGAGUAGACGCGCUGCAUGCUUUGAAGGGGUAAGCUGUUGUUGGACAGCUUAGAAAAUGCAGACGCCG